rnacentral:tRNA from 1 species
GGGGCUAUAGCUCAGCUGGGAGAGCGCUUGCAUGGCAUGCAAGAGGUCGACGGUUCGAUCCCGCUUAGCUCCA